CCUACGGGAGGCAGCAGUGAGGAAUAUUGGUCAAUGGACGAGAGUCUGAACCAGCAAAGUAGCGUGAAGGAUGACUGCCCUAUGGGUUGUAAACUUCUUUUAUAAAGGAAUAAAGCGAGGCACGUGUGCCGUUUUGCAUGUACUUUAUGAAUAAGGAUCGGCUAACUCCGUGCCAGCAGCCGCGGUAAUACGGAGAAUCCGAGCGUUAUCCGGGUUUAUUGGGUUUAAAGGAAGCGUAGAUGGGUUGUUAAGUCAGUUGUGAAAGUUUGCGGCUCAACCGGAAAACUGCAAUUGAUACUGGCAGUCUUGAGUACAGUUGAGGUAGGCGGAAUUCGUUGUGUAGCGGUGAAAUGCGUAGAUAUCACGAAGAACCCCGAUUGCGAAGGCAGAUUACUAAACUGUGACUGACAUUGAUGCUCGAAAGUGUGGGUAUCAAACAGGAUUAGAUACCCGGGUAGUC
rnacentral:rRNA from 1 species